UUCAAGUUACUCUUCUGACAGAGUAAUUUUCUGUUGUUUUGUCAUUUUUGCAUGAAAAUCCUACGUUCUGCCCAAGGCGUAGUGAUUCAUUUUGUAGGGCCUCAUCAUGUUUUAUUGAUUAUCAUUAAUGAAGGACAUUUUUUUGAAAUCAAACUUUGUGAUCCCUGUCUUUCUAUUUUUGUUUUCAUUUUUCUUUUUCAAAAAACAAUAAAAAUGGCAAUGUUUUUU
rnacentral:lncRNA from 1 species